UUUUGCAAUUUGCUAUCUGUAUGUCAUUUAUUUCUGUAUUCAGCACUGUGAAUCUUUUUUGUCAGAUUAAAUGUUUACUUAAUCAGCUUGUGUCUCUGUUCUCUAUGAGCUUCACUCUCCAGAGGAAAGCUCAGGUAAACACGUUACCAAAAAGGUUUAACUAUAUGUUUGAUCAGUAAAAGUAGAACUGUGAUUCUAUAAUUCUCCUGUGUGUGGGGUAACCUAAGACGCCCGGG